rnacentral:lncRNA from 1 species
UUGUCUACAACUCGAUAUCAAUUCCCUAUCAACAUUUAAAGUUGUACCUCUACAAACCAACUAAAUGUCAUUACUAUACUGUUAAUAAUAUUGCAGUUAAUCGUAUUUAUAUAAAAAAAUUGUCAUGGUAUUCUUCGUAAAAUCAACGUGUUCCUAUUGAGAUGCAAUGAUGGUAUUGACUUCCUCAGCACUGUAUUCCCUCUGUCGCAGAAACACCAUCAUCGUGUAGAAGGCAUCACAGCCAGCAUUAUGUAGAUCACUGUCUUCAUAAUUAACCUUGUACUCUUUCAAUAGAUAAGACAGACCACGCAUGAAAUAUUUCUCACUUUCUUUCAAACUUUCCUU